GAUGAACGCUGGCGGCGUGCCUAACACAUGCAAGUCGAGCGAUUCACUUCGGUAAAGAGCGGCGGACGGGUGAGUAACGCGUGGGUAACCUGCCCUGUACACACGGAUAACAUACUGAAAGGUAUGCUAAUACGGGAUAACAUAAGAGAGUCGCAUGGCUUUCUUAUCAAAGCUUUUGCGGUACAGGAUGGACCCGCGUCUGAUUAGCUAGUUGGUAAGGUAACGGCUUACCAAGGCGACGAUCAGUAGACGACCUGAGAGGUUGAUCGGCCACAUUGGAGCUCGGACGCGGUCCAAACUCCUACGGCAGGCAGCUGUGGGGUAUAUUGCACAAUGGGCGAAGGCCUGAUGCAGCAACGCCGCGUGAGCGAUGAAGGCCUUCGGGUCGUAAAGCUCGGUCCUCAAGGAAGAUAAUGACGGUACUUGAGGAGGAAGCCCCGGCUAACUACGUGCCAGCCGCCGCCGUAA
rnacentral:rRNA from 1 species